rnacentral:lncRNA from 12 species
AUGGGGAUAGGUCCAGGGCAGGGGGGCCUUGAGCAGCUGCCCCAGGACCUCCGCCAGGGUCUCCCAGUGCAGCCGGAGUCGCUCGGCCUGGGGUCCCCAAAGCCCUCAGCAAGCCCCAAGUCCCUCCCAGGAACCCUCAACUCCCUCAAACCCAGCAUCCCCCCACAGCCCCUGCAAGUUCCCCCCAUGUCUCCAUGUUUUAGUUCAACAUCUUUAUUUUUACGCCAGUUUUGGAUGUUUGGAAAGGACAAAGAGAAAUUAAAAGAAAAUCGAGGCUGCAGGGAGCCAGGAAGAGGUGGAGCCCCCCCAGCCAGCUCUACCUCCUGCCCCAGUGGGUGCAGGGAUACACGAAUAGAGGUUCUGGUCAGUUCAUCACGUGUUGUUUCUCCUGCUGCUCGGGGAGAGGAGUCGUUCCCCUGCUGCACCAAGGGGUCCCUCCCAGAGACGCUUCUCCAUGAACUUCUCCAAGGAAUUCCAGUUCCCAACCCUUGGCCAGAUGGAGGAGGAGGAUGCUGCGACGAAGAGAAAGAUGCCCUGGGAGCCCCAGGCAGAAAAUGAGCUGAGAACAGCAACCAGGAAGGAAAAAUCUCCACUGCAGAACCUCAUGGAAUAGGCUGUUUUGAGUGGCUCCACAGCACAGGAAUUCAGUGGGGAGGAAAAGCCCAGAGAUCGUGCAUGAGGAGGGGCUUCAAACCCAGCCCAAAGAGCCCUGCAGAGGAAAGAUCCACUCUGGACUGGGAAGGCAGGUGGAGAUCCAGAUGCAGCUCAGAGCUGGUGGUCCCUGAGCAGCUUCAUGGCAAGGAGAAACCCUACAAGGUCUUGAAAUAUGGGAAGAACUUCAGCCAGUGCUCCAGCCUUCUCACCCACCUUCGGGUACACCUGGAUGUGAUCCCCUUUGCUGGCAAGCACCUUCAGGCACAGCUGAGGACUGGAGGGUCCUCCUCCCACUUCAUUUUCUCUCCCAAAUUGAAAUCAUCCCCUCCCAUUCAAAUCCCCUCCAUUCAAAUUUUCUCCCCACAAUUAAAGUUUCUUUGCCCCAAUUAAACUUUUCUCCCCAAUUAGGCUCUGAGCCCCCUCCCCACCCCCAGUUCCUCCAGGCAGGACCCAGUCAGGACCUUCUGGAAACAGAAGUGGAAAGAGUUAAAAAAAUCAUCAUUAUUUCCUUGGUUUCUGGAGGAUUUUCCUCUGGCUUUCCUGCAGAAAGCCGUUCCUUUCCGGGUGAUGGCUGAGGGGUCCCCUCAGGCUUCACCCCCUUUCCAAUCCCUUUUUCAAGCUCUUUUCCUCAGUGGACCCAAACCUGUGGAUUUUGGGAGGUGUGAGGGGUCGCUCUGCUCAGGGGUCUCAGAGGUGCCCCAGGGAGGCCCCGAGGCCCCUUGGAGCAUUUGGAAUCUCCAACUCUCAGCCAGCACUGUCUGGGAUUCAAUCCCCCCUGCAGGGUUUUCCUAGAUACUGGGUUUAUUUCCAGAGGGGUUUGUGGUUUCCCUUUGAGCCGGGGCCUGACAGCACCAGAGCAGCUGCAGGUGGCGGGGGCAGGAAGGUGGGGACAGGAAGGGCUGUGGGACGGCACCUCGCCACAAACCUCUGGGAGGGGAAAAAGGGCUGAUGAGAAACAAAGAAUAAACAUGGGAUUAUAGAAAAAGCAAAAGUAAAAUAUGUAUGAUAUCUAGAAUAAAAUUUAAAAUAAGAAUGAAAAAAAUAAAAUAAUGGCAGA